rnacentral:lncRNA from 1 species
GGCGGGAAUAGGGGCUUCUACUCAGACCCAAGACUCUCGUAACCCGACAGCGCCUUGGAGCCUAAAUCUAAGCACGAUUCAGACAGGACGCUCGUCGCGUCUUGCCAGAGCCCCAACCACGGAUUGCGAACUCUGCCCGAGCUAGGGGCCGCCUGCUGCUCCCUGGACCUUGCUGACCCGGAUCUCGGAGCAAGUACCUUGGGAUCAGAGGGCCCUAUCCCUCUUCAUCCCCACAGGACCCACCACCCCAGGAGUGAAAUUAUUGGAGAGAUGGAGGGGGCUUGCCCUGUAAGCCCAGAGCAUCUUCUUUAGAAGACUUGGAAUGGACAACUGAGGCUUGUUGUGAUCUGUCACAAAAGAAAGGACUCCCUGCCCUGAUUAAUGGAGCCUCUUCAGCCCCUCACUUCGAUUUCAAGGGAAGGCAGGAGGCUGGGCCAGCAUAUGGGUGAGGGGGUACUCCCUGGGGCUUGAGCUGCCCCGCACAGGAUGCCCCGUGCCCCCCACUCCAUGCCCUUGCUGCUGCUGUUGCUGCUGUCACUCCCCCAAGCCCAGACUGCCUUUCCCCAGGACCCCAUCCCUCUGUUGACCUCUGACCUACAAGGUACCUCUCCGUCAUCCUGGUUCCGGGGCCUGGAGGACGAUGCUGUGGCUGCGGAACUUGGGCUGGACUUUCAGAGAUUCCUGACCUUGAACCGGACCUUGCUUGUGGCUGCCCGGGAUCACGUUUUCUCCUUCGAUCUUCAAGCCCAAGAAGAAGGGGAGGGGCUGGUGCCCAACAAGUUUCUGACAUGGCGGAGCCAAGACAUGGAGAAUUGUGCUGUCCGGGGAAAGCUGACGGACGAAUGCUACAACUACAUCCGUGUUCUUGUUCCCUGGGA